GGUUGCGAUCAUACCAGCACUAAUGCACCGGAUCCCAUCAGAACUCCGCAGUUAAGCGUGCUUGGGCGAGAGUAGUACUAGGAUGGGUGACCCCCUGGGAAGUCCUAGUGUUGCAACCC
rnacentral:rRNA from 1 species